rnacentral:rRNA from 1 species
GGGGGCAGCCUAACACAGUAAUUGGAGGGAUGAGAACGGAUUUUAUUCUUGUUUCAGGGCGGUCAGGUAUUAGUACUUAGCAUUUGCCUGGUAGUAAGGGGCAAAAUUUUUAAAAAGGGUACUUUAAUCCCCCAUGCCCCACCGGGGGAAAACGGGGUGAACCCUAGGCCCUUGCGCUAUCAGAUGAGCCUAGGUCGGAUUAGCUAGUUGGUGGGGUAAUGGCUCACCAAGGCGACGAUCCGUAACUGGUCUGAGAGGAUGAUCAGUCACACUGGAACUGAGACACGGUCCAGACUCCUACGGGAGGCAGCAGUGGGGAAUAUUGGACAAUGGGCGAAAGCCUGAUCCAGCCAUGCCGCGUGUGUGAAGAAGGUCUUCGGAUUGUAAAGCACUUUAAGUUGGGAGGAAGGGCAGUAAGCUAAUACCUUGCUGUUUUGACGUUACCGACAGAAUAAGCACCGGCUAACUCUGUGCCAGCAGCCGCGGUAAUACAGAGGGUGCAAGCGUUAAUCGGAAUUACUGGGCGUAAAGCGCGCGUAGGUGGUUCGUUAAGUUGGAUGUGAAAUCCCCGGGCUCAACCUGGGAACUGCAUCCAAAACUGGCGAGCUAGAUUCUCUAGGAUGGUGGUUGGAAUUCCUGUGUAGCGGUGAAAUGCGUAGAUAUAGGAAGGAACACCAGUGGCGAAGGCGACCACCUGGACUGAUACUGACACUGAGGUGCGAAAGCGUGGGGAGCAAACGGGAUUAGAUACCCUGGUAUUCCACCCCGUAAACGAUGUCAACUAGCCGUUGGAAUCCUUGAGAUUUUAGUGGCGCAGCUAACGCAUUGAGUCCCCCCUGAGAGUACUGGCCGCAAGGUAUUAAACUCUCAAAAUAAAUUGGACGGGGGCCGCCCCACAAGCGGUGGAGCAUGUGGUUUAAUUCGAAGCAACGCGAAGAACCUUACCAGGCCUUGACAUGCAGAGAACUUUCCAGAGAUGGAUUGGUGCCUUCGGGAACUCUGACACAGGUGCUGCAUGGCUGUCGUCAGCUCGUGUCGUGAGAUGUUGGGUUAAGUCCCGUAACGAGCGCAACCCUUGUCCUUAGUUACCAGCACGUUAUGGUGGGCACUCUAAGGAGACUGCCGGUGACAAACCGGAGGAAGGUGGGGAUGACGUCAAGUCAUCAUGGCCCUUACGGCCUGGGCUACACACGUGCUACAAUGGUCGGUACAGAGGGUUGCCAAGCCGCGAGGUGGAGCUAAUCUCACAAAACCGAUCGUAGUCCGGAUCGCAGUCUGCAACUCGACUGCGUGAAGUCGGAAUCGCUAGUAAUCGCGAAUCAGAAUGUCGCGGUAAAUACGUUCCCGGGCCUUGUACACACCGCCCGUCACACCAUGGGAGGAGUGGGUUGCACCAGAAGUAGCUAGUCUAACCUUCGGGAGGACGGUUACCACGGUG